UGAGAGUCUGCUCCCUGCAUUUUCAUUCUGGAAAACCAGCAAAUGAAAUGUACAGCUCCCACCCAGACUGAGCCCCAUCUCUCAACCUGGGCCACACUAAGAUAAAUGUCACAUCGACUGCACGCUAUGAGAGAAGGGAAGGAGAAAACGGCGGAGGACUGACAGUACACCUGCGAUGGAUGACACAGUUAUGGAUGACCUUCUUCCAGCAGUGGAGACACCAGCACCAGUAGACGAUGGAGCUGACCAGAGACCGCUGACAGAAUGUGACUUCUGUCAUCGUCGGCAGGAUGAAAUCAAGCGGCUGCUGGAAGAGAACAGGGCCCUGAAACGGGAGCUCGGUCAGAGGAAAAUGGGUGAACAUUUCCUGAAGGAUGACAUCAACAAAGUGAAGUACUACACUGGACUUCCACACCUCGAAGUUGUCAUGGGUGUUCUAGCCUGUGUUGCAAAAAUGAGUGAUGCUAAAACCCACACUGAAAUAAAUGUGUCUGAAAUACAGCCAUAAGUGUCUGUCGCAUCCAUACCCACAAUCUUCACAAUAAACAUACUUAAAUGCA